rnacentral:rRNA from 1 species
CCUACGGGAGGCAGCAGUGAGGAAUAUUGGUCAAUGGACGAGAGUCUGAACCAGCCAAGUAGCGUGAAGGAUGACUGCCCUAUGGGUUGUAAACUUCUUUUAUAUGGGAAUAAAACGUUCCACGUGUGGGAUUUUGUAUGUACCAUAUGAAUAAGGAUCGGCUAACUCCGUGCCAGCAGCCGCGGUAAUACGGAGGAUCCGAGCGUUAUCCGGAUUUAUUGGGUUUAAAGGGAGCGUAGGUGGAUUGUUAAGUCAGUUGUGAAAGUUUGCGGCUCAACCGUAAAAUUGCAGUUGAAACUGGCAGUCUUGAGUACAGUAGAGUUGGGCGGAAUUCGUGGUGUAGCGGUGAAAUGCUUAGAUAUCACGAAGAACUCCGAUUGCGAAGGCAGUUCACUGGACUGCAACUGACACUGAGGCUCGAAAGUGUGGGUAUCAAACAGGAUUAGAUACCCUAGUAGUC